UACCCUCCAGCACGAAGCCACUUGUUAGGAGUAACAUUCUUUAUAGGUACUUACCUACUGGAAUACAAGUUAUCUUCGUUCGAGAUGGUUCGAGUAUAAUAUACUUUUUCAUAAGAAUAUUUCUCAUUGUUGUAAAAAAAUAGUUGAAAAUUUGAUAAUAAUUGAGAAUUUCGCAUUCGGAAAGUUCAACACUACUUGAGUAUAAAAGUUUAAUUAUUGGUGUAUUUUAGUGCUGUCAUGAUGUUAAUUCUAUUAGUUUUUGCAUUCUUCUUAAUCAAUGAAAAUGUUAUUGCUGCUCCUGCUAAUAGUAGUAUUUCCACAGAAAAUGAAUCUUUUUUGGUCAUAGUUUUCAACACAUGCAGUCAAGACCACCCGUGUUUUGUUUCCUAUAAAAUCAGUUAUGGGAAUGUCGCGUAUAAAUCAUCAAUCUUGGGUUCUGCAGAGAAAAGUUAUUUUCCUUAUUUUCCUUAUGCGAACACUACCAUUGGUUUAGAUGUCACAGUAUUUAAACACAUUGAUGUACAUGAUCGUGGAACUGUUAUCACUACAAAAAAGUUUGGAGUUGGAGACAACGAGGGUCGUUGUUUCGCUGUGAGAGGAAAUGAUUAUUCGAUUCCGACAGUAUCAAAGUGUUCAUUUGAUGAAGAACUUGAAGCAAGAAAUUCAAGCCGAAUAUUGAGAAUAAGGAACAAAUCUUCUCCUCCCUUCGUAUUGAAUGUGGCCUUAAGGCAUGGAAACAAGACUAAGGAACAAAAAAAAAUUUUUGCCUCACAAAAGGCCGACUUCACUUUUGUAGCUGGGACUACAAAAGAUGGAGUAGUCAAUUAUUCAAUAUACAAGUUGAAGAAUGAAACAUCGGCGACAUGGGAGCCCAUUCAACAGUCCAUUCCACUUAGGUGGAUCUUUGAUGAAUGCUUAAAGGUGACUGGUAAUUAUGAAAACCCGCUCAUAUCACCCACUGAAUGUGUGAAGGGAUGAAGAGCCUUAAAAUGAAACGCCAGCUUUUGGCUUUUAGCAUUGAAAUCCCAAAAUUAAAAAUUUUGGCUUUAGUUUUCGGCUAUCUCGAUUUUUACGGCUUGCUUUAGCCAAACUUUCAGUUUCCAAUGGCUUUCCCUUAUAUUUUCAAAUUAACAUCUUUCACCCUAUAUUUCAUUAAGCUUUAGCUUUAAACUUUUGGCUUCGAGCUUUUGACUUUAAACUUUCAGCUGAUACAUCAUCAAUUUAUACAAAAAAAGGAAAUUAAAAAUCAGUUCAGGUGCAUUGAUUUCAUAAUGUGAUAGUGGAAUAACAUUCAUUGCUAGAAUUAUUUUCCUUUUUUUUUUCAUUUCAUUAAAUCGCAUUAAAAUAAAAUUGAACAGAAUUUUUUUCAUUUUUUUUUUGUUUCUUCUGAAUUUAGAGAAUUCAAUUCUGCAAAAAAACUUUUGAAAAGGCUAAAAAAUCAAACUUUUGGCUAGCUUUUGGUUUGGAAAAAACUAAACUUGCAAACUUUUAGCUUUUGGCUUGGUGCGAAAAUCUGCUCAGCUUUCAGCUUUCGGCUUUAAGAUAUACUAUAGGUAUCAGCUAGCUUUUCAUCCCUGGUUGUGUGUUACACGCCAUCAACAACAUAGGUCAAUAUAAUAUAAAUACUGAAAUAUAAAUUGGUAGCCCAUAACUUUAUCCCUAAUAAAACUUUUUUAUACUGAA